GAGGGUAUAGCUCAAGUGGUAGAGCACAUGCUUAGCAUGCACAAGGUCCUGGGUUCAAUUCUUAGUACCUCCA
rnacentral:tRNA from 1 species